rnacentral:rRNA from 1 species
GACGAACGCUGGCGGCGUGCUUAACACAUGCAAGUCGAACGGAAAGGCCCUGCUUUUGUGGGGUGCUCGAGUGGCGAACGGGUGAGUAACACGUGAGUAACCUGCCCUUGACUUUGGGAUAACUUCAGGAAAAUGGGGCUAAAACAGGAUAGGAGCUCCUGCUGCAUGGGGGGGGUUGGAAAGUGUCGGCGGUUGGGGAUGGACUCGCGGCUUAUCAGCUUGUUGGGGGGGUAGUGGCUUACCAAGGCUUUGACGGGUAGCCGGCCUGAGAGGGUGACCGGCCACCUUGGGACUGAGGUACGGCCCAGACUCCUACGGGCGGCAGCAGUCGGGAAUAUUGCACAAUGGGCGGAAGCCUGAUGCAGCGACGCCGCGUGCGGGAUGACGGCCUUCGGGUUGUAAACCGCUUUCGCCUGUGCCGAAGCGUGAGUGACGGUAAUGGGUAAAGAAGCACCGGCUAACUACGUG